AAGAGUUUGAUCCUGGCUCAGGACGAACGUUGGCGGCGUGCUUAACACAUGCAAGUCGAGCGGGGCUUAGUUGAAAGUUUACUUUUUACUGAGUCUAGCGGCGGUGAGUAACGCGUGGAUAAUCUGCCUGUAAGACAGGGAUAACGCCGGGAAACCGGUGCUAAUACCGGAUAACCUCUUUGAAUCGCAUGAUUUAAAGAGAAAAGGUGGCCUCUUUACAAUGCUGCCACUUACAGAUGAAUCCGCGUCCCAUUAGCCAGUUGGUGGGGUAAUGGCCUACCAAAGCGACGAUGGGUAGCCGGCCUGAGAGGGUGACCGGCCACACUGGAACUGAGAUACGGUCCAGACUCCUACGGGAGGCAGCAGUGGGGAAUAUUGGGCAAUGGGCGAAAGCCUGACCCAGCAACGCCGCGUGAGGGAAGAAGGUCUUCGGAUCGUAAACCUCUGUCCUUGGUGACGAAACAAAUGACGGUACCUUAGGAGGAAGCCCCGGCUAACUACGUGCCAGCAGCCGCGGUAAUACGUAGGGGGCAAGCGUUAUCCGGAAUUAUUGGGCGUAAAGAGUGCGUAGGUGGUUUUAUAAGCGUGAGGUGAAAGGCAAUGGCUCAACUAUUGUAAGCCUUGUGAACUGUUUUUCUUGAGUGCAAGAGAGGGAAGUGGAAUUCCUAGUGUAGCGGUGAAAUGCGUAGAUAUUAGGAGGAACACCAGUGGCGAAGGCGGCUUUCUGGACUGUAACUGACACUGAGGCACGAAAGCGUGGGGAGCAAACAGGAUUAGAUACCCUGGUAGUCCACGCCGUAAACGAUGAGUACUAGGUGUAGCGGGUAUUGACCCCUGCAGUGCCGCAGCUAACGCAACAUCCCGCCUGUGGAGUACGGCCGCAAGGCUAAAACAUAAAGGAAUUGACGGGGACCCGCACAAGCGGUGGAGCGUGUUCUUUAAUUCGAUGAUAAACGAAGAACCUUACCAGGGCUUGACAUCCCUUGAAAUAGAAACAUAGUCUUUCGCCUUCGGGUGAACACGGAGACAGGUGGUGCAUGGUUGUCGUCAGCUCGUGUCGUGAGAUGUUGGGUUAAGUCCCGCAACGAGCGCAACCCCUACAGCCAGUUGCCAGCACAUAAAGGUGGGAACUCUGGCAGAACUGCCGUUGACAAAACGGAGGAAGGUGGGGAUGACGUCAAAUCAUCAUGCCCCUUAUGUCUUGGGCUACACACGUACUACAAUGGCCUGAACAGAGGGAAGCGAAACUGCGAAGUUAAGCGAACCCCUUAAAACAGGUCCCAGUUCGGAUUGUAGGCUGCAACUCGCCUACAUGAAGUUGGAAUCGCUAGUAAUCGCAGGUCAGCAUACUGCGGUGAAUACGUUCCCGGGCCUUGUACACACCGCCCGUCACACCACGAAAGUCGGCAACACCCGAAGCCGGUGACUCAACCCGAAAGGGAGAGAGCCGUCGAAGGUGGGGUUGGUAAUUGGGGUGAAGUCGUAACAAGGUAACCC
rnacentral:rRNA from 1 species